GCUAAGCAAUGGGAAAAGAAAUAUAAGCAGAAAGGCAGUCCCUGUCAUCAAGGGGCUUACAUCAUAAUGGAAGAAGACAAUGCAGCCUAACAAUCUGACAAGGGGGGUGGGGAAGAGGAAAAGUAACCAUACAAAGACAUAUGGUAGAGGAUGUCAUGGCGAGAGGAGUCAGCAGUGAAGCCUGGAGGGGAAUGAAGACCUCUUUGGCCUGGGUCUCCUUGAAAUCGAGGUUCUGGAGGAACCAGACUAUCAGAAGGUUCCACCCAUGGCCAAACUGUUUUGGAGUUGGAAGAGACUCAUCAAGAAAAUCAACUCAGAAUUUGCCAGGAGAGGUGAUUUCCUGGCCACCUCUUCUUAUUAAAUCAUAAAAUCAUGGGCAUGAACUUGGAAA